rnacentral:rRNA from 1 species
GAUGAACGCUGGCGGCGUGCCUAAUACAUGCAAGUCGAGCGAACCACUUCGGUGGUGAGCGGCGAACGGGUGAGUAGCACGUAGGUGAUCUGCCCAUCAGACGGGGACAACGAUUGGAAACGAUCGCUAAUACCGGGUAGGACGAAAGUUUAAAGGUGCUUCUGGCACCGCUGAUGGAUGAGCCUGCGGCGCAUUAACUAGUUGGUAGGGUAAAGGCCUACCAAGGCGACGAUGCGUAGCCGACCUGAGAGGGUGAACGGCCACACUGGGACUAAGACACGGCCCAGACUCCUACGGGAGGCAGCAGUAGGGAAUCUUCGGCAAUGGGCGAAAGCCUGACCGAGCAACGCCGCGUGAAUGAUGAAGGCCUUCGGGUUGUAAAAUUCUGUUAUAAGGGAAGAACGACUUUAGUAGGAAAUGGCUAGAGUGUGACGGUACCUUAUGAGAAAGCCACGGCUAACUACGUGCCAGCCGCCGCCGCGG